CAGAGUUGCAAAACUCCUAACCAUUGUGAACGAACCCGUUAUAGUAGUUGCUUCGGCGGGUAGUGCGCUGAAACUGCCCGCCGACGGCAUGCAAUCUCUAGAUUACAGUGGAUCUCUGAGUAGCUUAUUUAAUAAGUCA
rnacentral:misc_RNA from 1 species